rnacentral:misc_RNA from 1 species
GGGGAAAGCUGUCUUUAAAGCCACACUGAAGUCUGUGAAGGGGAAGUUGCAGGGGAAGCCUUCGAUGUACAGGCUUGGUGGAUUACCAUUGGCAUUCCAGUGUUGGUUUUAUGAGUGCUGCCCUUAUGUUAAUAAUAAGAUUGCUUUCCGAGUUGAUGACAAAGUGCCCCGCAUACUUAGCUGGAAAGUUACAAAGCAGCCAAGUUUUAAGGAGUUGUUGGAUGGAAUUUUCAGGCUGAGUCAGGAUCAGUUGAAGCUGAGGAAUAUAUCUCCGACAGAAUUUGAGAAAACAACACUUGGCUUACCUGAAUCAACUGAAAAUGAAAGGGUUAAUAAGGUGGCAUCUGGAGAUGUUCAUCUUAGCGAUGAAGACACUAGCAAUCCACCUCCUCAAGCAAGUAGGAAGUAGC